rnacentral:misc_RNA from 1 species
GCGUGCGUCCGACCACAAAUCUUGCCGGCGUCCAAUGUGUGCGCAUCCGCUCCUCUUCACGUAAGUGACAUAACAGACAAGCGCGAAAGCAGCGGCUGAGACGAACGAAAAAUAAAGGAGGAACGCCGACAGAGCCGCGAGGGGAGAGUGCGAGAGGCGCGCGAAGCGUGAGCGAAUGGGGAGGGGGCGAGCGCGCGGGUACGGCCGCGUCACCGCCGCUGCUUCGCGCGCCUCCUGCACUCUUCUACCGAGCUACCAAGCGGUCUGGUCGGUGUGUCCUUGGCGGAAAUGCCAUGCCUUGAGUAUAGAUGGAAGUGUGCGAUGCCUGGUGACAUGGAGACGAGCAGCACGUGUGUCUGCAGCUCUGCAGCCUCCCUCAAGACCCCUUUCCCAAACCUCGGCCCGCCCCGUUAUGGGCCCCCCCCCGCUGUGCUUGUAUGUGAAUGCCGCGCAACCGCCCCUUCGUCCUGUCCUUAGUGCUGCGUGGUUCAGUUUAAUACGCUACACCUCCCGCUGGCCCCGCUGCUCGCCUCUCUUCUUCUCCCAUGCCGGCCCUCAUCGUCUGUGCCACUUCCCCCUGCCCUUCCUACUCUGCACGCGCGCAG